AAGGUCAGUGAGCCUAUUUUAGCGAGAUCCAGCGCCGCGGCGCGCCCUGUGAUGCGGUCCGGCCAGCCGAGGCAAUGCGCAAUCGGCGUGCGCAUGUCGGGCGUUCCAAGCUGGGCCAUGACGGAUCGAUCCGAGAAUUCAACCAUGCCGUGAACGAUGGACUGCGGAUGCACCAGCACGUCGAUUUCAUCCGGUGACAGGGCGAACA
rnacentral:misc_RNA from 1 species